CACCGCGGUCAUACGAGUGACGCCCAAGUGGACAGCCCACGGCGUAAAGUGUGGUUAGGGAACUCCCCAACUAAAGUUGAAUCAUCUCCAAGCUGUUAAACGCCCCGAGAUCAAGAAACCCAACGACGAAAGUGACUUUAACCUGACCUGAAACCACGAAAGCUGAGAAA
rnacentral:rRNA from 1 species